GCCUGAAUCAGUGUGUGUGUUAGUGGAAGCGUCUGGAAAGGCGCGCGAUACAGGGUGACAGCCCCGUACACAAAAAUACACAUAUUGUGAGCUCGAUGAGUAGGGCGGGACACGUGGUAUCCUGUCUGAAUAUGGGGGGACCAUCCUCCAAGGCUAAAUACUCCUGACUGACCGAUAGUGAACCAGUACCGUGAGGGAAAGGCGAAAAGAACCCCGG
rnacentral:rRNA from 1 species